GGCAGCAGUGAGGAAUUUUGCGCAAUGGGGGAAACCCUGACGCAGCAACGCCGUGUGAGUGAAGAAGGCCUUCGGGUCGUAAAGCUCUGUCAAGGGGGAAAAACUCCUUUCGAUCAAUAGUCAUUAAGGACUGAUGGUACCCCUAGAGGAAGCACCGGCUAACUCCGUGCCAGCAGCCGCGGUAAUACGGAGGGGGCUAGCGUUGUUCGGAAUUACUGGGCGUAAAGGGCGUGUAGGCGGUCUAUCGAGUCAGGCGUGAAAGCCCCGGGCUUAACCUGGGAACUGCGUUUGAUACUGAUAGACUAGAGGUUGGAAGAGGAGAGUGGAAUUCCCAGUGUAGAGGUGAAAUUCGUAGAUAUUGGGAAGAACACCAGUGGCGAAGGCGGCUCUCUGGUCCAUACCUGACGCUGAGGCGCGAAAGCGUGGGGAGCAAACAGGAUUAGAUACCCUGGUAGUCCACGCCGUAAACGAUGUGUGCUAGACGUCGGGUGUUCAGCAUUCGGUGUCGGAGCUAACGCAUUAAGCACACCGCCUGGGGAGUACGGCCGCAAGGUUAAAACUCAAAUGAAUUGACGG
rnacentral:rRNA from 1 species